rnacentral:rRNA from 1 species
GAUGAACGCUGGCGGCGUGCCUAAUACAUGCAAGUCGAGCGAACAGAUGAGGAGCUUGCUCCUCUGACGUUAGCGGCGGACGGGUGAGUAACACGUGGAUAACCUACCUAUAAGACUGGGAUAACUUCGGGAAACCGGAGCUAAUACCGGAUAAUAUAUUGAACCGCAUGGUUCAAUAGUGAAAGACGGUUUUGCUGUCACUUAUAGAUGGAUCCGCGCCGCAUUAGCUAGUUGGUAAGGUAACGGCUACCAAGGCAACGAUGCGUAGCCGACCUGAGAGGGUGAUCGACCACACUGGAACUGAGACACGGUCCAGACUCCUACGGGAGGCAGCAGUAGGGAAUCUUCCGCAAUGGGCGAAAGCCUGACGGAGCAACGCCGCGUGAGUGAUGAAGGUCUUCGGAUCGUAAAACUCUGUUAUUAGGGAAGAACAAAUGUGUAAGUAACUAUGCACGUCUUGACGGUACCUAAUCAGAAAGCCACGGCUAACUACGUG